UACAGAGGUGGCAAGCGUUGUUCGGAAUUACUGGGCGUAAAGGGCGCGUAGGCGGCCCGUCAAGUCCCGUGUGAAAUCCCUCGGCUCAACCGAGGAACUGCGUCUGAGACUGCGGGGCUUGAAUCCGGGAGAGGGAUGCGGAAUUCCAGGUGUAGCGGUGAAAUGCGUAGAUAUCUGGAGGAACACCGGUGGCGAAGGCGGCAUCCUGGACCGGUAUUGACACUGAGGAGCGAAAGCCAGGGGAGCAAACGGG
rnacentral:rRNA from 1 species